CUGCACUCCACUAUCUGCAUUGUCCUUCUGAGUGAGUUUGUUUCCCGGAAUGUGUGUCUACAACAUUUAGUGCAUUGGCCGGGAAACUCCUCACUCUGAGGAGACAAGUCCCAUUUGGGACUACUCUGAGGCCUUGUGGCUUAAAUCUUCUAGUGGGGGAAGGCGCCUCACCCUUCUGGAAGGAUUUUGCUUCUCAGUGCUGGACCUUUCCCGUUAGCAGGUAGUGGACGGCAGCAGGGGAACUGAGCGCUCAGGUAAGGAGGAACUCACCCAGUAGGGUGGAAGAGGGGCUUAAUUACCCCCCUGGGAGGGACUAGAAGGGGCACAGAACCACAGGAGCCUGAAAUAGGCAGGUGGCAGCGAUUAAUUGGUACAUAGGUUGAGGAGCAUGUUAGGGCUUAGGAAGGAAAUUUGUGAAGGUCAUUUAGGAGGUGGUGUCCAUGCCGUCUUGGAGAAAAUUACUACCAAGCAGUCCACAGGGGAUUUUUAGGAGGAGAAACUUGGUCUUUGUGAGCUCAUAUUCUGCCCUCCCCAAGGAGAUGUCCCAUCUGCUGUGAAAUUCUUGACCCCCUUGGAAUUGUCAGGCUAGAAGGAGGGGCGGGGUACGUAAGUGAAUAUGAAUUGUCUUUUCCAGAGAUGGUCUGGGACGUGGAAUAUUUAACCCAUCUGUGUUUUCAUCCACACCUGAUCAAGCCCACCAAGGCAGAAUGGACUAAAAGUUAAGGGAAAAACAGUCUUGGACCACGUGGUGUUCUGGUUCAGCCAUGCUGACCAGCAGGACUGGAGGCCGCCUUAAUGACCGAUCCAGGGCCGGGUGAAGUUCGGCAGCUGCUCUUCCGCCAGCUCUCCUGGAAAUCGUAGAGCCACGGUUUUGGCAGGCUCUAAUCCCAGCGAUGGAGACCUCUGGUCAACGCCCCCAGAAUUCCACCUCAGCUGGAUCUCCUAGAUUGUAUCCACCUCUCCAGCACUGAGGAAAGACCAGGAUCCUAACUGAGGCCAGAAAAUGGUUCAGAGGAAUGGAGGGCACUGCAGACCUGCAGCGGUGGGCAGAACGAGCCACCCCCGAUGAGAGCACCGAUUGGGACUGUAACAUAGAGGAAGGUGGGCCAUCUGGAGAGAUAUCUGGCAGCUAUUUUACAAGGCCUCAAGAGGAGGCCCUAAAACCUAUGAGUAUGGCAAAACCCUCCGAAGUGAUUCAGAUGGAAAGCAAAUCACCCUCUGAAUUCUAUGAAAAACUGUGCGAGGCCUGUAGACUUUAUACACCAAUAGAUCCAGAGGCUGCUGGGUCUCAGAUGGUGAUAAAUGCAGCCUUUGUGUCUCAAGCCUACCCUAAAAAUGUCAGAUGGGGGGACACAACGUGACUCAUGAAUUUUUAUACAUCCCUGAAUGCCCAGUAUCUUUGUUGGGAAGAGACUUGCUGUCUAAAUUGGGGGCACAAGUGACCUUUCACUCACCACGAAAGACCCACUCUUCGAGUGGGCUCAACCACCUAUUUACUCUUCCUCUCAGUAACCCUUCAAGAUGAACGGAGGUUGCACAAUCUCCCGGAAGGGAAAUCGGAUGGGCUAAACAGU